AGUGAACGCUGGCGGUAGGCCUAACACAUGCAAGUCGAACGGCAGCACAGUAAGAGCUUGCUCUUACGGGUGGCGAGUGGCGGACGGGUGAGGAAUACAUCGGAAUCUACUUUUUCGUGGGGGAUAACGUAGGGAAACUUACGCUAAUACCGCAUACGACCUACGGGUGAAAGCAGGGGAUCUUCGGACCUUGCGCGAUUGAAUGAGCCGAUGUCGGAUUAGCUAGUUGGCGGGGUAAAGGCCCACCAAGGCGACGAUCCGUAGCUGGUCUGAGAGGAUGAUCAGCCACACUGGAACUGAGACACGGUCCAGACUCCUACGGGAGGCAGCAGUGGGGAAUAUUGGACAACGGGCGCAAGCCUGAUCCAGCCAUACCGCGUGGGUGAAGAAGGCCUUCGGGUUGUAAAGCCCUUUUGUUGGGAAGGAAAAGCAGCAGGUUAAUACCCCGCUGUUCUGACGGUACCCAAAGAAUAAGCACCGGCUAACUUCGUG
rnacentral:rRNA from 1 species